rnacentral:lncRNA from 10 species
CAGGGGAGCAGCCUGUGAGGCCAGGGCUGGGGGCACCUGCACCAGGAAGGGGCAGAGGCAGGCCAGGCACAGCUGGGGGAGCUGCAGGCAGCAGGAGGCAGGGGAGGCAGCGGUGGCCCUGGCCAAGCUUGCAGAGCCUCAGACUCUCGACACAGUGCUGACGGCCAGAGAGUUCCUUGGCUGCCACAUCCUCUUCUUAGUGUCUCUGCUUCAUAUAAGAAAUUGCUACCCUGGUGGUGCCUGCCCUAAUGGCUUGAUGGUUCUCCUGGUCUGUGGACUUGUGGACUUGUUCUCUCCAUCUUCCUAAGUGGGAUGCUGCCACUGGGCAGAGUGGGCUGGCAGGGAAAUUACUGGAUUUAGAGCAGGGCUGUACAGGCCACACAGGUAAACAACAGACUGCCCACACUGGAGCUCAUGGUCAUGCGAGUUCCUCAGUAACCAGGAGCCCAGGCUGACAUGGGAGCCCAACAUGAAACCAAACUCACCUUGAUGGAGUGCCCACAGGCACCAGUGACCGGGCUGGGCUUGUGGAUGCAGAGCUAACCACAGGUGCAUGGUCCACCCUAGAGCACUCAUGCCCAGAAGAGGGCACAGAUGGGAAACCAGUGAGUGGACCUUCAAUCCUUCACCCCAGAAAUGUGUACUGAAAGCUGAUGGUCUGCUGGGGACCCCCAAAGACUUGCUUUCAUGGGGUGUACAUGCCAGCUUUCAACAAUGGCUGGAGGAGCAGUACUGCCAAAGAGAUGGGAGAGUGCAGAGAAGUGAGUGAACAAGUCCGCUGGAGGGAGGAGAGGUGAUCUCUGACCGGAUCUUAAAGAGUUGAUGUGUCCCAGACAGAAAUGGAAAAUGAGGAAAGGGUGUUCUAAGCAGCGGUAACAGCAUGUGCAGAAACCCAGAGACAGGAAGGAACAAGGCAGGCUGGGGGAAUCUCAUGUGGUUUCGUAUGACUGGUGUGUGUACGUGGGAGGUUGUGGUAGUUAAAAGACAUCCACAAAUUCUUUGACAUUCCUCCCUUCAAAAGACAGAGGCUCAUUCUCUUCCUCCUGAAUGUGGGCAGGACUCAGUAACUUACUUCUGAAGAACCACAUAUGAUGGAAACGGUAAUGGAUAACCUCCGAGACUAGAUCAUAAAAGACACUGUAGCUCCCUCCUUGUUCCUUCUGGGUUUGCCCUCUCUGGGAGAACCCAACCCAGGUCAUAAGGACACUCAAGCAGCUCUCUGGGGAGGCCCACAUGGAGAGGAACCGAGGCCUCUCGCCAACAGCAGGCACAGGCUUGCCAGCCUGUGAGCCAGCCAUCAAGGAAGUGCAUUCUCCAGCCCCAGCCAAGCCUUCAGAUGACACAACCCCCCAACAUUGUGAUGCAAUCUCAUGAAAAACCCCAAGCCAGAACCACCCAGCCACCUACAGAGACUGUGAGAUGUUUAUUGUUUGUUCUUGAAAGCCGCAGUGUUUUGAAGUCAUUGGUUACGCACAAUUGAUGACUCAUCCAGCGUUGCUUUGAGGCAUGACCCUAAGGAAGGGAGGGGCAUGCUUAGGCUCCAGGUUAAUGGGCUGAAAUCAUGUUAGAGACUUGGCUACAUCACUUCUUUUUGGGGGCCUCAGUUUCCUCAUUUGUCCAAUUCAUAGGCUGGAGCAGAAGAUUUCUAAGCUCUUCACCAGUGCAGACCCAACCACAUGCCUGCAAGACACAUUGCUAUGGUCUGAAUUAUCGUUUCCUCUCAAAAAAGGCAUAGGUUGAAACCUAAUCUCCAAUGUGAUGGUAUUAGGAGGUGAGGACUUUGGGAGGUGAUAGGUCAUGUGAGCUCCAUCCUUAUAAUAGGAUUAGUGCCCUUAUGAAAGAGACCGCAGAGAGCUGCCUUGCCCCUUCCUCCGUGUGAGGACACAGCUAGAAGGCACUGUCUAUGAAGCCGGAAGCAGCCUUCACCACACGCCAAAUCUGCCAAUACCUUGAUCUUGGACUUCCCACCUCUAGAACUGUGAGAAAUAAAUUUCUGCUGUUUAUAAGCCACUUGGUCUACGGCAUUUUGUUUUUGUUUUUUUAGAGACAAGGUCUUGCUGUCACCCAGGCCAGACUGCAGUGGCACAAUCAUAGCACACUGUCACCUUGAACUCCUGGGCUCAAGCGAUCCUCCCCACCUCAGCCUUCUGAGUAGCUGGGACUACAGAUGCGCUGGGACUACAGAUGCUCUACGGGUGGAGACAGGGUCUCAUUUUGUUGCUCAGGCUGGUCUCAAACUCCUGGCCUCAAGUGAUUCACCCACCUCAGCCUCCCAAUACAAUAUUUUGUUAUAGCAGCUGGAACAGACUAAGACACACAUCAAGUGAGGUGGUUGCUUCUUUAGAGGAUUUGGGGUCCCAGAAAGGAGGUGAGGAAAGUUGCUGGCCAUACACCUACUGAAAGACGGGGUCUGGGGAGAAGACAGACACAGCCUGCCACCUUUGCUGACCCACAGGGACUCAGGGAGAUGAGAGCAUGUGCAUUAAGAGCCAGAUGGAGGCAGGAAGGAGUGGUGGCCUGAGGACGUCCACAGAGUCAGGAAGGCGGGACCUCCAGUGGGACCCUCAUCUCAGCCCAGCCGACCACUCACCCUUUGGCCAAGCCUGGGAAGGAACGCUGGGCCGGCACUCACAUCCAUUCAUUAUUCCAUUUAAUCCUCACCACAACCCUGCAAGGAAGGUUUUUUUAUUCGUAUUGAUUUGCUUAUCGAUUUAGACCCAACCUUGUUCUAGAAAGCCUUUAAGGUGGCUUAUAGGGAUUUUCAAAACAGCAAGAGAGCAAGAGUGAAAAAUGAGGCACAGAGAAGAGGAGGAAUCAAUGGCGGGUACUAAGAAUGCAUGCACCAUGUGACCACAUGCCAGGCUGGGCUGAGCGGGGCUCUGAGCUUUCUCACUGAAAGCCAGCGUGAAAGGAGAGCCAGUCAGCUCACAGCGCCCACGGGACACGUAUAAGUCUAAAAGGAUCAGCUUCUCAGGAGUACAGCUGGUGUGGCACUCAGAUGAGGCAAGAAUUUUCCCAGGGGUGUUUAUUAAAAAUGACAGUGUAGCCUAAUCAAUAACACUAGAUCCUUAUAAUUAAUGGGGUUUGAGUGUCUGUUUCUUAUAAUAGCAUCAAAGUACAAUUCAGCAAAUGCAUUUCUAUAAGGACUCACACCAGGAACUAAGUAGGGAAGAGGAAGAAGGCAGAGGCAGACUCCAGGUAGGCCCAGUCUAUGCAAAGACGCUGGGGCAUGAGAGAGCCUGGUAUGACUGGGGAGGAGCAGAGGCUCUGGGAAGCAAGUGUCAGCUGGGAGAAGCCUCACACAGGCCGGGGAGAGUGAUGGGAUAGAACAGAGAGGGCUGUGAUAUGACCAUCUUUUUAAUUAUUUUGUUUAUUUAUUUAGAGACAGCAUCUCACUCUGUCACUCAGGCUGGAGUGCAGUCACUCAAUCACAGCUCACUGCACUGUUGAAAUCCUGGGCUCAGGUGAUUUUCCUCUCUCAGCUUCCUGAGUAGCUGGGACUACAGGCGCAUGCUACCAUGCCUGGCUAAUUUUUUAAAAAAUAUUUUUGUAGAGACAGGGUCUCACUAUGUUGUCCAGGCUGGUCUCAAACUCCUGGGUUCAAGUGAUCCUCCCUCCUCAGCCUCCCAAGUAGCUGGGACUAAAGGCACGGGCACUGUGCCCAGCUCUGACCAUCUUUCAGGCUUUGUUCUGGGGCACCAAAGCUUAAAGAGGAAAGACACAGCCCCCAGGCAGGCAGGCAGCAGGUGAUGCCAACGGCCAUCAAGAGAUAAGAGAUGGCCCAAAGCUGGGUGUGGAACUGUCCCACCCUGGCCAGUCAGCCCACAGCCGGAACCAGCCCUCAUCGUUUAAAUGAAGACAGGAAAGUGAAUUUGGGGCCCCAGGAGAGGCCAGAGGAAAACAGGUGAACCUUGGAAGCCUCAGGAAAAUGCAGCCUGAUGGCAGCAAAGCGGGUGGUAGAAGGAGCCUGCACCUGUAGAGAGAAGGACCAGGUUCAACUCCUGCUUCUGCUAUUGACCAACCAUGGACCUCGAGAAGUUCUGCACCUGAGAGCUUCAGGUGUCCUAUUUGUAAAAUAACUACCACGUGGGACUUUGGAGAAGAUUGUGAAUUGAUGUACUUAAGCUUCUGAAUCACAACCUCCAUUUAGCAGCAUUCAAGAAAUGCGGGCUGUUGUCCCUGCCCGAAGCACAGCCUAAGCAACCCUAAGGCUCUGUUGUUUCAAGCUUUCCCACGAGGGGGCGCCAGAAGCCUUCCCUGGACCUGGAUGCCUCAACCACAUCGCAAACUAGCAGAACAAAGCUAUUCUCUUUUUUUUUCUUUUUGCUCCAACUGACUUCCUACCUUGCCAAUACUUGUCUCAUCUUUCCCAAAUCCCUUUGAAAUAAAG